rfam:Ornithorhynchus anatinus chromosome 2, whole genome shotgun sequence.
AGCAGCGUGGCUCAGUGGAAAGAGCCUGGGCUUCGGAGCCAGGGGUCAUGGGUUCAACUCCCGGCUCUGCCA